UUUUAUGUUGGGGUAAAUUAUAUUAAAAAUCUGAUUAUGAUUAAUUAUCUAAUUAAUUUUAUGAUAAGAAUAAAUUUAAAUUUAUAAAUAAACGGUAAAAUUCAAAUAAAUGAUUUGAUCAAUCCGGAAGCAUGCAUAGCAGUGUUUUAAGGCAUAUUCCCGUUCUUCUUACGGAAUUAAUUAUGAAUACCACCCCAAGGUGCGACGAAAAUUUCUCUCCCUACGAGUAUGAACGCAGAAGAGAUUGAUGGAGAAACUUUUAACACUCGGCGAUAAAGAAAGAUCAAUCAAAGUAAAAGAAAAUAGGAGAUGAAAUAAACGUAAAACAAAUUUUCUUUUAAUCCUUUAUUUUUUGUUUUUCUUCUCUACCAUAGAGGUGGGAGUUGAACAGUGCUAAAACCACUUAUAUAGAAAAUAAAAUAAUAAAUAAAUAUUAAUUAAUUAAAAUAAUAAAUGAUAAUAAAUAAGCUAAUAAAUUAAUAAUGAUAAUAAUAAUAAUAAUAAUAAUAAUAAUAAUAAUAAUAAUAAAGGAAGUAAUUAGGAAAUUUUGGAUUUUUCACCAACAUUUUAAUGUAUA
rnacentral:lncRNA from 1 species